GACCUCUAGUCUAGAUUAGCUUUUUUUUUUUUAAUUUGAUUUAUAUGCCGCCCUUCUCCGGAGACUCAGGGCGGCUUACAAUGCGCUAAGCAAUAGCCUUCAUACUUUUGUAUAUUUAUAUAAAGUCAGCUUAUUGCCCCCACAAACUGGGUCCUCAUUUCACCUACCUUAGAAAGGAUGGAAGGCUGAGUCAACCUUGAGCCUUGGAGAGAUUCGAACCAGCAGUAAAUUGCAGGCAGCUGUGUUAAUAACAGGGUAUUUGAAGCCGUGGUGGCGUUUUUUCCCAGCAACUUGAAAAUUAGCCUUUUCUUUUAGAUGUCUGGCUUCGGUGGGACUUUCUCCAGCCCAAUCGAUUGCCCUAAACUUCAAUCAUUUACUUAGGAAAGAGUACAGCUAGUCCUCGACUUACAGCAGUUCAUUUAGUGACCGUUCAAAGUUACAAGGUGCUGAAAAAAACAAUGACUUAUGACCUGUAAGAAGAAAUAUCCUUCUGGGUUCAACUCCAAGUGGGGAAAAAGACCCUGGAAACAUGGAGACUGCUUGGAAAGAUGGUUUAAUGGUGGACAGGAUCACAUGGUUUGAGUUCCUGAACAGAAAAGGGGCGAGAUGCUGCGAGUCCCCGGGUUUUAUGCCCUCUCUGGCUUUGGACUUCCUGGGGCCCAGAAAAAGUAUCCUGAUUGGUUGUCAGACUCUCAGGGGGUGGGGGUCUUAGCUGGCCUUGCUGGCUGAUGUAAUCUUCCCAGGUGCCAUGUGGUGAGUUUCUGUUGCUAGAUGGGUCCUAUUGUGUUGCAGAUGAUGGUCCAUUGACAAAGAUUGAGUUUCUGCCUCUGGCCCAUUGACAAAGGGUGAGGGUAGGAAGAUGGGAGCUGCUUCGUCUUUAAAACAUGCUUCUCCAUUUCUCAUACAGGGAAACAUAAUAUUCUGCCUUUUUAAUAUUUCCUAAAAUAUUUCAUUCUUCUAGGAAAGGGGUGGAUGCUAACUUCCUACAGACCAUUUUUCACACUUACAACCAGUGGUGGGUUGCUACCAGUUUGCCCUGGAUUGCGUGCGUCCACAAGCGAACCAGUAGCGACAGGAUUUGAAUCCCACUACUGCUUACAACCUUUGUGGCAGCCCCAUGGUCACGUGAUUUAUAUACAAAUACUUGACAAGUGGUUCAUAUUUAUGACGGUUGCGGUGUCCCGGGGUCAUGUGAUCACCUUUUGUGACCUGACAAGAGAAGUCAAUGGGAAAGCCAGGUUUGCUUAACAACGGUUUACUAAUUUAACAACUACAGUGAUUCACUUAACAAAGUGGCAAGAAAAGUCGUAAAAUCGGGCAAAGCUCACUUAACAAAUUUCUCACUUAGCAACCUAAAUUCUGGGCUCAGUUGUGGUCGUAAGUCGAGGACUACCUGUAUUGUAUGCUUUUGUCCAAACUGGCUAGAGAAACAAAUUAAGAAAAGCUACUCUAGGGACUUUUCUUAACCUGGCAUGGUGGGAGUUCUUACCUGGCCUUUAAGGCUUCAUUAUUAACUUUUUAAUACAGGUGAUAUUAGCAUUUUUUAGCAAGGCAUCUGUGGUUUGUUUUGAAGUUUAGGAAACCAGGAUUUUAUUAGUCAAAACCAUUUCCUUUGAUGUGCAAAAACUAACCUAUUUAUAUAGGGAAUAUAUUCUGGAGUCUUUUAGGGUUGCAAGUGUUAAAAGAAACAUGUUUGGAUUGGAAAAGAGUAAAUGCAAUAUAUUUUAAAGGUAUUUGUUUUUUCUCAUAUCUAAUCAAUGUCUUUUGUUACUUAAUUUGUUGCUUUGACACAUUCUAUUCACACAGACUGAGUUCAAGCUAGAUUAGACCUGGCCAGUUUAUAAUUCAGUGUGUUGUUGAACCUCAAUUUAGGAAAAACAAUGCUAAUCAACUAGUGAAUGGAUGAUGUAGCUGCUCCUUUCAACACCCAGGUACUGCAUCACUGAGAAAAUUCAAGUAAGAAGUGAGGUACCUGUUUACAAUUUCUAAGCAGCACCAUAGGCUCACUUUUGGUCACAGAGAGGAUAAUCAGGAGAGGAACAUCUGUUGCUUUUCUUUCAUGACUCCUCAGGGAAGGACUAUUAAGACCAUCUGCAGAAUGGGGAUUCCAAGGAGCUUCCUGGCUAGAAAUGGAAAUCAGCAAUCUGUUAAACUUCCCGAUGCAUGAAUACGGAUGAAUGCUUGUUUGGAACAUAUCCUGUAGUCUUGUGAAUCUUGAGUCACAAAUCCAUAAUAUAACCUUUUUGGAGAAGUGGAUCUGAACUGAUUUCUGCACAGCCCUUUGAGAAUUGUACAAAUGGAUAAAAAUGGUGUUUAUAUGACAACAAUAAUAAUUGAUGGAUGCUUUCAAUACUCUUCACAGGAGUCCUGUGGCUGUUCCUCAGGCCUCUCCUUAUCUAAGAAGGACCAGGUCAUCUGGAACAGGUCUACUGGCCAACUGCCUCUGGGCAAAAUAAGAGCAGGAAAUUAUUUUGUAAAUACUUUUAUUACCACAGGGUAACCUUUAAUAAAGGAUCUUACCCUUGGUUUAUUA